AAAUAAACAUUUUACAGGAGAAAUAUCCUAAUAUUACAUGCUUAAAAUUCAUCACAAAUUUAGUCAGUGUCCACGAGUUAAUUAUUUUGAUUAUUGUGGGCACUGCACUAUUUUUGUAUGUGUGUAUCCGGGCCGGGCACGUAUGGGGAGCGGCUUCUGGUGGCGGACACUGUGGCUGGGAAGGGGAGCUGCCGGAGGGAGUAGGCUCCUGUGGGGCCAGUGGAGAAGCUUUGUGGCAAGCUGGUGGAGGAGGUGUUGGUAGCGAGUGUGAAGGGUGGUGAGGUGUAGGGUGUGGAGGGCCUCCUGGCUCAGGCGUGUAGAUGGGAGCAGGAGAAGAAAGAACAAAGGAAGAGGACGAAGAAGAAAGGAAAAAUGGAAGUGGAAGAAGAGGAGGAGCCAAGCCACAAUAUUUAGGUCCGCAGAAAACGACACGCUGAUUUAUUUGAAGUCAAGGAUGGAGAUUAAAACGGCCUUUAAAAACACCACACCCGUUUUGUCCACCGCCAUCACCACCUUCUCCCAGAUCAAGGAAGUGUAUUACGGACUCACACAAAAGGAAGAGAACUCGUGGAGACCACACCACAGCUGCAUAUUCCAGCCUUGGGCGUAUCAUGCUUG
rnacentral:lncRNA from 1 species